rnacentral:tRNA from 1 species
GGUCUAGUAGUGUAUUCCACGUCGGAUUGCAAAUCCGAAAAAGCGGGUGGCCACCCGCCUAGGCCU